CAGGGGACCCACACACCAAAUAUUGUCUCGCUCAGUAAUUGAAAUCUCUCGCGGCGCGGCCGCCAGGGAUAGUCCCUCGGGAGCAUGAGGAUGUCAGGCUGCCAGCCUGCCGCGGACCCAACCCUUCGUAGUGCCCAGACCCCAAACACAGAAUUCAUUCUGACAGGCACACCACAACGCAGUUUUGAGUCCUGAAGGUCAAUGGUGAGGUACCUCCUCCCCGACUUACGCCUUUGACCUCCCUUCGGAUCGCGGCUAGGGCUGAGAGGCUGCGAAGAGGCCUGGCCAUGGGUGUACGGUGGAGACAUCUCCAGCUGAGUCAGAUCCCCUCUCCAAACCUCUCCGACCCUGCUGUAUCCCCGCAGGCUGGGUAACCGGGGUUACUCUGGGCUGCUCACUCGAAUUUAUGGGAACGCCAAGCCGGGACUGACCUGCGUGGAGAAAGCAGAGGGAAGAAGAGAGAGUGGGAGGGGGCGGCUGCCUGUAGGAACUUGGGUCUUCCAGGGAAGCGGAGCGGGACUGCCGCGUUCCCCUCGAUUUGCACCGUCACUCUGGCGGUUUGGAAGGAAGAGGGGAGGCGCUGUGCCUGCCUCUGUGUACCUGAAGCUGGGUGCACAAGUGUGUACGGACGUCUGCGCCGCUGUAUGAGUUGUCAGGGCUUUGGCAGCGUCCGGAGCGAAUUCGGAGGUCGCCUCCAGAAACUCGCAGAAACGGGAAGGGGGCAAGAGGAGGACACAACCCCUUCCUCGGAAGGACUUGGACGACUUUGAAUUUCCCCUCCCCCACUUUUCCGCCCCAGCUCUUCUUUUGUUGUCAAGUCCUUUGAUAAAUGGUAGGGCAGGGAGCGCGGGGAGCCAGGAGCCAGUCUGUACCCGCUCGGGGGGCAGGGCCGGGUCUGGCGACCCGGUUUCCUUCCGCGCUGAGCCCCGUACCGCGGGGGCCGAGUCUGGGACCUGCCCUCCGCAGGCUAGCCCUCUCCUCUCUCACCACCCCGUGCCCUCCUCCCGCCUUUUUUGUCUCUCUUCCACUCCACACAGGUUGGUAAACUUGAUGAGAUUGUAACUUGACUAAAAAUAAUUUGGAGAAGAGGGAAGUGUGUAUUUUGGGCUGCUCUUCGUCGGUGUGCGUACCUGCGUGUGUUUAGGUGUUAAGAACACACCUGCGGUCAAGGGGAUUUGGUAUCUGCCUGUGCGGAGGUGAGGAAGAAUCGACGGGAUUUCUCUGCGGUUUGCGCUGCCUGUAUCCGAAUAAAUUGAGCUUGCAGGCAUCCGGCAGGAAACGGCUCCCGGUUGGAGAGUACGCCGACGCAUCGGCCCAGCACGGGACGCGAGGUGGCUCCUGGUGAUUGUGUGGCUGUAGGUCCGGCCUCCGAAGAAGGCUGGACUAUCAGCGCACUCAGGCCGGGAGCGGCCCCUGGCUGCCCGGCAGUGCCCGGCAGCCCCCACUUCUGGUGGUGCUUCGGGAACCUGCCCGGCCGAGUCCGCCCGCGGCGAAAACUGAAAGCAAAUUCCGCGGCAAAUGAAGCCCAAACUUUCUUCGACGCAACUUUGCCACAGGGAUUCGGUGGCGACUUAGGACGGCGCGCUGGUCUGUGCGCGUGCAAGGUGGGGGUGGUGGGCGAAGAAAGCUUGGGGCGGCCGAGCCUGGCCCUAGACGAAACACUAGGGAAGGCACCUCCCCUUCCUUAUUUCUCGCCAACUCCUCGGCCCCAGUCCGUAAAAAUAGUUUCCAAUGUGUGGCGGACGCCCAGGAUGUGUUUGUGGGGAUCGCACCAGAGAGAAGGAAGCUUUGUUAAAGUUGCAGAAAGAGCUUUGCCCAGAAGCGUCCGCCCUGCAGGGCUCAAGAAAGCUGAGGACCAGCUCGCCUCCCCGGGGGUGGAAUGCCUAGAAAUCGGCUUGGGGAGACCCCAGCCCAGUCCUCUCCCCUCACCUCGAACUCGCGCAUAAAUAACCUUCGGCAGUCUGCGCUGGAAACUCACAAGCGCGGCGCCGCGGUUGGCUGGCGAGGCUGGGACGCUGAGCCGGCCCGCAAGGCCGCUUCUAGGCGCGCUCAGUCCCAGCCCCUAAGAGAAGCUUGCACCGAGGUGAGAGAACGAGUGUGCUUUCAGCUCCUGCUCGGCUGUGUAGACCAUCACCGCCGAACUCCCAACUCCCUGGAGCUGGCGCUUCCCCCCUGGGAGCGGCAGACUUGGGCGGCUGGCUAGGGCGCAAAGUGCGCGCGCGGGCCGGCGCGGGGAUGGGGGGCGGCUGCCGGUCUCUCCGCGGGGCCUGUCGCCGGGCCGGCCGCGGCGGGUGAGUGAUGAGGGCAGAGAAGGGCGCCCAUAAAUCGCGGGUGUCAGGGCGAAAAACUCUCUUUAUUGUCUGCGUGAUGGAUGGGCCCGGGGACGAGACACCAAAUACUUCGUAUCGCCUUUAAAUGGGAACACAUUUUCCGCGGCCAUAAUUCAUGUUUUUUAAAUAGAAAGUUUGAAAUGUUGCCUAUAUUUCACCGGCCCUGACAUAUUUAUGAAUCGCUCCCUGCAUGCAAAUAUCAUUAUUUAAAGCGCCGGGGAGAGCUCGGGGGGAGGGGAGGAGGCAUGGCCCCCGUGGCGUGGGGGUGGUGAACGGGAGAAAUGCGGAUGGAGGGGAGUGCAUCUCCCUAAAGUGCGGACAAUGAGGCGCGGGGGAAAUCCUUAUACGGAAGCGGAGCGCACUGGGGGACCCACUCCCGUCGCUGGACCGAGCACUGCCGCUUCGGGAAGUUUGAGCCGCUUGGGUCGGUGGACAGGCCCCCGCCCCCUGCGGGAAGACCCGGGGGUCCUUUUGCGUCCCUCUCCGAGGCCCUGAUCCGAGUCAAAGACACCUUUCCCAAGAAGAAAAAAUGUGUUUUUUUUUUAAUAAAAUAAUUUAACAAACGUAAAUAA